rnacentral:rRNA from 1 species
GAUGAACGCUGGCGGCGUGCCUAAUACAUGCAAGUCGAGCGAACAGAUGAGGAGCUUGCUCCUCUGACGUUAGCGGCGGACGGGUGAGUAACACGUGGAUAACCUACCUAUAAGACUGGGAUAACUUCGGGAAACCGGAGCUAAUACCGGAUAAUAUAUUGAACCGCAUGGUUCAAUAGUGAAAGACGGUUUUGCUGUCACUUAUAGAUGGAUCCGCGCCGCAUUAGCUAGUUGGUAAGGUAACGGCUUACCAAGGCAACGUUGCGUAGCCGACCUGAGAGGGGGAUCGGCCACACUGGAAAGGCGACACGGUCCAGACUCCUAAGGGAGGCAGCAGGAGGGAAUAUUCCGCAAUGGGCGAAAGCCUGACGGAGCAACGCCGCGUGAGUGAUGAAGGUCUUCGGAUCGUAAAACUCUGUUAUUAGGGAAGAACAAAUGUGUAAGUAACUAUGCACGUCUUGACGGUACCUAAUCAGAAAGCCACGGCUAACUACGUG